rnacentral:lncRNA from 10 species
GCGGAGGCAGCGAGGCGCGCCGAGGAGGCGGCUCCGACCCAGGUCGUCGCAGCAGCACAGGAAGCUGUAACACAGAGACACUAGGAGGAGGAAACAGAGUACAAGGAGAACGUAUCCAGGAGCAAUUCCACUUCGAAUGAUUCCUAAGUGAAUGCCUACAGGACAGUUCUCGGUGACCAUGUCCAGAACAGGCAUAAGUGACGAUCCCCAGUACUUCCCUGAGGGACCACACUGGUACCUUGGAUCAGAACCCUGCAUCAGAACAGGCCUAAAUGGCCAUGGCUAAGAACACGGCUGAGUUGUCCUUCAACAGCAAUGCCAAUGCCAAUUCACCAUGUCCGAGUGUUCACAAGGCUCCUCUCCUGGAUGUAAGCUAAUUUGUCUAUGUCUCUUCUAAAAUCUCACACCUGGGACUGCGCGAGGAAUUUCAGAUAUGGAUUGAAAAGUUCAACAGGACUCUCACCUCUCUUUUGUAAGUUCUAUUUCUAGUAAUGCCACCUAAGACUCCAUUAUCUUUUUCUUGUGGCUAUAUCACACUGCUGACAUCUCAAACUUGCAGCCAAGUAACAUCUCUAAAUGUUUCUUACAAGUGCUGCUGAUUAAGGCACAGCUACCCCAUACUGUGCUUGUACAGUGGGCCUUUUUGGACCCAAUGUGUAGGUCCUUAUAGAUUUGACUUGAUUGCAUUUCAUCUUGUCUCAUCAGUUCGCUGCCCUAGUUUUUUUUAAAUGUCUAUUUGAAGUCAAACCACGAGGUAGCUUUCAUUUAUUCAAAAAGAAAAAGUAGAAAGAUUGUAUCCCAGCUUUACCCUUUAUUCCAGGUGUACUUUGGGCAAGUGGACCCCCUUUAAGCCUCAGGUUCCUCAGCUGUAAAAUGGGACGCUAUGAUUCACCUUAAAAGUCUCUCAAAGUUUAGAUGUUGCAUGAUUCUAUGAUUCCAUUACCCAAAGCAUGAACCACUCACUUGGCAUCAUGUAAUUUCCACAGUUGAUCACAAUUUAAUUAAUUCCUCAUUCUAAUUGUUAAUAAAAAUGUCAAAACAAAUAUACUUAAAGGAGUUCUUCUUCUUCUUUUGGGUGAGGGGAAGUGUCUCACUCUGUUGACCAUGCUGGCAUGCAGUAGUGCAAUCAUAGCUCAUGCUGCAGCCUCCACUUCCUGGGCUCAAGGGAUCCUCCUGCCUCAGCCUCCUGAGUAGCUAGGACUACAGGCAUGUGCCACCACACCUAGCUAGUUUUUUAAUUUUUUGUAGAGAUGAAGUCUUACUGUGUUG